rnacentral:piRNA from 1 species
UGAACAGAGUUGCACUCUGGAGGUAGAAA